CUCCCUCGUUGCUAACCCCAGGUUCGAUAAUACCAAGAUGGCAUCACCUCGCCAAGAACCAACUUCGAUGAAGCGACGGGCGGUGUGUGCAAGGAG
rnacentral:rRNA from 1 species